rnacentral:rRNA from 1 species
UACGAAGGGGGCUAGCGUUGUUCGGAUUUACUGGGCGUAAAGCGCACGUAGGCGGAUCGUUAAGUCGGGGGUGAAAUCCUGGAGCUCAACUCCAGAACUGCCUUCGAUACUGGCGAUCUUGAGUCCGGAAGAGGUGAGUGGAACUCCUAGUGUAGAGGUGGAAUUCGUAGAUAUUAGGAAGAACACCAGUGGCGAAGGCGGCUCACUGGUCCGGUACUGACGCUGAGGUGCGAAAAGCGUGGGGAGGCAAAGCUAG